UACGUAGGGGGCUAGCGUUAUCCAGAAUUACUGGGCGUAAAGCGCGUGUAGGCGGCUGGUUAAGUGUGAUGUGAAAUCUUCGGGCUCAACCCGAAAACUGCAUUGCAAACUGGCCUGGCUAGAGUGCAGGAGAGGGAAGCGGAAUUCCAGGUGUAGCGGUGAAAUGCGUAGAUAUCGGGAGGAACACCUGUGGCGAAAGCGGCGCACUGGACCACAACUGACGCUGAGGCGCGAAAGCUAGGGGAGCAAACAGG
rnacentral:rRNA from 1 species